rnacentral:piRNA from 1 species
GAGAUGAAUGAACAGACUUGCCUAA